rnacentral:lncRNA from 1 species
UAUAUCACAAUAUUACAUUUUUUUUCUGUUAUUUUUGUAGUGUGUGUGUGUGUGUGUGUGUGUGUGUGUGUGUGUGUGUGUGUGUGUGUGUGUGUGUGUGUGUGUGUGUGUGUGUGUGUGUGUGUGUGUGUGUGUGUGUGUGUGUGUGUGUGUGUGUGUGAGUGUGUGAGUGUGUGGCUGUUGCGCACUCAGAAAAAGAGUCCAGGCCCUCGACAGAUCAUCUGUGUCUGGCUUCGGUCCCUCAGUUCAGAUGGACUCUACAGACCUGCAGGCCUGACCUUGAACAUUAAAGAGAGAAGACAAGCAAACAAACGCAGGAGCGCUCUGCAGCGGACGACUCAUCCUGUCCUGAAACAACAUGGCGAGAUUCUUACUGGAAUGUCCAGGGAUGUUGAGAUGCCAUCUGAGUGUGUGUUAACCUGUACGGCGCUCUCUUACAGGCUGAUCACAGACAGACAGCAAAAACUAACAGUCCGCUUCAAAGACUCACAUCCCGGCGAGUCGGGUGACUUCUGCUGGUUUAUUCAUCAGAGAUGCAGCACAUGGGAUGAAGUUUUUGUUUUACUGUCAGUCAAUGCCAUUCCGAAUGCAGGAGUGAUUCGACUUCAAACCAACUCUCUGCAAACCCUGAACCCCGUUCCAGCCCCACGACUCUCCGUCCAUCAUCCCUGACGACUGCGGCGUUCGCUUCCACGUCACGCCGCACCUGAGACACCUGCCACAACACACUCUCUGUGUCAGACUGACAGGCAUCAUGGGAAACCACUUACACUGUCCGCCGUUUCUGGUCAUCAUACGGAAAAAACUGUAGGAGUCUGACUGAUUCUUGAAGGAAUCUAUAAACAUUAUGAGACACAAUGGUAAAGAUUUAGACAGAUAUACUGUUAGAGGCUAGUGGUGUGACCUUUAGGAUAUUGCAUUUCAAUUUAAAUUCAUCUGAAUGAAUGUUUCAGCAAUAUGUGAUUGGUCUGUUUUCAGACAAACAACAUUUGCAGUUUAAUAAGCUUUAAAUUUGAAAUAUACAUUUUAUUUUAAUUGACCUUUAUAGCCCUUCUGUUUUAUUCAACAUUUUAUAUUUAGUACACUGAUCAAAGCACUAGAAUGUAGUUCAUGACCCCAUUUAUUACCAGCCUAUAUAUAUAUAUAGGUAAUAAAUAUCUAGGAGACAAUCUCUGUGUCUGUUGUGUAUUCAUUAAUUAAUAUGUAUAUAUGGUAAUUUUAAAUACUAAAUCACUAGUGAUAUAUGGAUUUUAAAUCAAAUCACUGAAGUAGAUUUUAAAUCUGUCAAACAAACAAACCAAUAGCAUCAACAAAAGUAAAUCACAACAAUUAUAAUAAUUCUACCUCAAAUGUCUGUCUAACACACACUCACAUAUACACAUUUGUUUAGUCAAAUACACUCAGAAAGUACAAACAGAACUGGGCACACAACCAUCAUAAUUCUGCACAGCACGUUUGUUCAAUCAAAUUCAUGCCUGAUAUUCAGAACAGUGUGACUGUGAGUGUGAUAUGUCUUUUAUUUAACAGUUCAUUGAGCAAGGAGUUGUUUGGACACAGGGUAUAGUUGCAUAGUGUAUUUUUGCUCCGUCAUUGAAAUGGUUCCACUAAAGCAGAAUAAACCGCUGCGACUCCCAGCAACACAGUAGUGUUUCAUUCCUUGUUGAGGGAAUCGGUUGAGUGAAUGAUUUAUUCAGCAGAAUUAUAAUUGCGCUGCAGCUGUACCCUGUGUCUGAAAUCGCCCCCUAUACCCUUAAAUAAGACUCGUUUCCAGAAUCUCAAAUUUAAAUUUCCGCUACUGAAAGAAAGAGAGAUAGGCUAAAAAAUAAAAGUGUAGUCUGCACAAUAUUGUGUUAUUUUAUUUGUCUUGUCAAGAGUCUUAAUUUAUUAAUUUGACUUAAAUUUAAAGGAAUUAUCUUAAGACACAAAAUUUGUUUAUUUUGUACAACACAGUAGGGAAAAAAAGUGUAAGAGAAAAUAAAAAUGUUGAACAAAAAUUGUAUUUCUUAUUUUUAUUCAUCUUGUCAGGAUAAAAAUUUUUCAACAUUUACAACACAAGAGGAAAAAGUGUCGCACAGAGAGAGAGAGAGAGAGAGAGAGAGAAUGUAGGUUGUAACAAAAAUAACUUAUUAAAUAUUGUUAUUUGUCUUUGUAAACUAUUCCAAACGUAGCCUCAGUCUUUCGGAGUCUGAUUAACAGUAUAAUCCAAAA